rnacentral:rRNA from 1 species
UACAGAGGUGCCGAGCGUUGUUCGGAUUUACUGGGCGUAAAGGGUGCGUAGGCGGUUUGGUAAGUCAAAUGUGAAAUCCUACAGCUUAACUGUAGAAAUGCAUUCGAAACUGCCAAGCUAGAGUACUGGAGGGGAGAUCGGAAUUCUCGGUGUAGCAGUGAAAUGCGUAGAUAUCGAGAGGAACACCAGUGGCGAAGGCGGAUCUCUGGACAGUUACUGACGCUGAUGCACGAAAGCUAGGGGAGCAAAC